rnacentral:rRNA from 1 species
AGAGUUUGAUCAUGGCUCAGAUUGAACGCUGGCGGCAGGCCUAACACAUGCAAGUCGAACGGUAACAGGAAACAGCUUGCUGUUUCGCUGACGAGUGGCGGACGGGUGAGUAAUGUCUGGGAAACUGCCUGAUGGAGGGGGAUAACUACUGGAAACGGUAGCUAAUACCGCAUAACGUCGCAAGACCAAAGAGGGGGACCUUCGGGCCUCUUGCCAUCGGAUGUGCCCAGAUGGGAUUAGCUAGUAGGUGGGGUAACGGCUCACCUAGGCGACGAUCCCUAGCUGGUCUGAGAGGAUGACCAGCCACACUGGAACUGAGACACGGUCCAGACUCCUACGGGAGGCAGCAGUGGGGAAUAUUGCACAAUGGGCGCAAGCCUGAUGCAGCCAUGCCGCGUGUAUGAAGAAGGCCUUCGGGUUGUAAAGUACUUUCAGCGGGGAGGAAGGGAGUAAAGUUAAUACCUUUGCUCAUUGACGUUACCCGCAGAAGAAGCACCGGCUAACUCCGUGCCAGCAGCCGCGGUAAUACGGAGGGUGCAAGCGUUAAUCGGAAUUACUGGGCGUAAAGCGCACGCAGGCGGUUUGUUAAGUCAGAUGUGAAAUCCCCGGGCUCAACCUGGGAACUGCAUCUGAUACUGGCAAGCUUGAGUCUCGUAGAGGGGGGUAGAAUUCCAGGUGUAGCGGUGAAAUGCGUAGAGAUCUGGAGGAAUACCGGUGGCGAAGGCGGCCCCCUGGACGAAGACUGACGCUCAGGUGCGAAAGCGUGGGGAGCAAACAGGAUUAGAUACCCUGGUAGUCCACGCCGUAAACGAUGUCGACUUGGAGGUUGUGCCCUUGAGGCGUGGCUUCCGGAGCUAACGCGUUAAGUCGACCGCCUGGGGAGUACGGCCGCAAGGUUAAAACUCAAAUGAAUUGACGGGGGCCCGCACAAGCGGUGGAGCAUGUGGUUUAAUUCGAUGCAACGCGAAGAACCUUACCUGGUCUUGACAUCCACAGAACUUUCCAGAGAUGGAUUGGUACCUUCGGGAACUGUGAGACAGGUGCUGCAUGGCUGUCGUCAGCUCGUGUUGUGAAAUGUUGGGUUAAGUCCCGCAACGAGCGCAACCCUUAUCCUUUGUUGCCAGCGGUCCGGCCGGGAACUCAAAGGAG